rnacentral:rRNA from 1 species
GCAGCCAUCAUUUAAAGAAAGCGUAACAGCUCACUGGUCUAAAUAAGGGUCUUUGCGCCUAAAAUGUAACGGGGCUAAAGCCAUACACCGAAGCUUUGGGUGCAUAGCAAUAUGCGCGGUAGCGGAGCGUUCUGUAGGCCUGUGAAGGGAGACCCGUGAGGGCUCCUGGAGGUAUCAGAAGUGCGAAUGCUGACAUGAGUAACGUAAGGAGUGUGAGAGACACUCCCGCCGAAAGACCAAGGGUUCCUGCUUAAAGUUAAUCUGAGCAGGGUUAGCCGGACCCUAAGGCGAGGCCGAAAGGCGUAGUCGAUGGGAAUCACGUUAAUAUUCGUGAGCCUGCAGGUAGUGACGGAUCAUCAAGGUAGUUCAUUCUUAUUGGAUUGAAUGGGCUGCUGCGUGGUUCCAGGAAAUAGCUCCUGCUUAUAGUCCGUACCCGAAACCGACACUGGUGGUCUGGUAGAGUAUACCAAGGCGCUUGAGAGAACUAUGCUGAAGGAACUCGGCAAAUUGCACGCGUAACUUCGGAAGAAGCGUGACCCCUUAGUACGCAAGUAUUGGGGGGUGGCACAGACCAGGGGGUAGCGACUGUUUAUCAAAAACACAGGGCUCUGCGAAGCCGCAAGGCGACGUAUAGGGUCUGACGCCUGCCCGGUGCUGGAAGGUUAAGAGGAGAGGUGCAAGCUUUGAAUCGAAGCCCC